rnacentral:rRNA from 1 species
GAUGAACGCUGGCGGCGUGCCUAAUACAUGCCAGUCGAGCGAACGGACGAGAAGCUUGCUUUUCUGAUGUUAGCGGCGGACGGGUGAGUAACACGUGGAUAACCUACCUAUAAGACUGGGAUAACUUCGGGAAACCGGAGCUCAUACCGGAUAAUAUUUUGAACCGCAUGGUUCAAAAGUGAAAGACGGUCUUGCUGUCACUUAUAGAUGGAUCCGCGCUGCAUUAGCUAGUUGGUAAGGUAACGGCUUACCAAGGCAACGAUGCAUAGCCGACCUGAGAGGGUGAUCGGCCACACUGGAACUGAGACACGGUCCAGACUCCUACGGGAGGCAGCAGUAGGGAAUCUUCCGCAAUGGGCGAAAGCCUGACGGAGCAACGCCGCGUGAGUGAUGAAGGUCUUCGGAUCGUAAAACUCUGUUAUUAGGGAAGAACAUAUGUGUAAGUAACUGUGCACAUCUUGACGGUACCUAAUCAGAAAGCCACGGCUAACUACGUG